AAGCAGCGAGGAAUACAUGCGCUUUGUGUGAUGGAUCAGGUUCAAUCACAACCGUCUGAUUCUAUUAAAUGAUAAAGCGUAUCUGAGCUU